rnacentral:rRNA from 1 species
CAGUAGCCGCGGUAAUACGAAGGGUGCAAGCGUUACUCGGAAUUACUGGGCGUAAAGCGUGCGUAGGUGGUUGUUUAAGUCUGCUGUGAAAGCCCUGGGCUCAACCUGGGAAUUGCAGUGGAUACUGGGCGACUAGAGUAAGGUAGAGGAUAGUGGAAUUUCCGGUGUAGCAGUGAAAUGCGUAGAGAUCGGAAGGAACAUCUGUGGCGAAGGCGACUAUCUGGGCCAUUACUGACACUGAGGCACGAAAGCGUGGGGAGCAAACAGGAUUAGAUACCCGUGUAGUCCCUGUCUCUUAUAC